AGAGUUUGAUUAUGGCUCAGAUUGAACGCUGGCGGCAGGCCUAACACAUGCAAGUCGAGCGGGGGUAGCAAUACCCUAGCGGCGAACGGGUGAGGAAUACGUGGGAAUCUGCCUCAUAGUGGGGGAUAACGUUCCGAAAGGAACGCUAAUACCGCAUACGUCCUACGGGAGAAAGGGGGGGAUCUUCGGACCUCUCGCUAUGAGAUGAGCCCACGUCGGAUUAGCUAGUUGGUGAGGUAAAGGCUCACCAAGGCGACGAUCCGUAGCUGGUCUGAGAGGAUGAUCAGCCACACUGGAACUGAGACACGGUCCAGACUCCUACGGGAGGCAGCAGUGGGGAAUAUUGGACAAUGGGGGCAACCCUGAUCCAGCCAUGCCGCGUGUGUGAAGAAGGCUUUCGGGUCGUAAAGCACUUUAAGCGGGGAGGAAGGCUUUUGGGUUAAUACCUUAAAAGAGUGACGUUACCCGCAGAAUAAGCACCGGCUAACUCUGUGCCAGCAGCCGCGGUAAUACAGAGGGUGCGAGCGUUAAUCGGAAUUACUGGGCGUAAAGCGCGCGUAGGCGGUUGUGUAAGUUGGAGGUGAAAUCCCCGGGCUUAACCUGGGCACUGCCUUCAAAACUGCACGGCUAGAGUAUGAGAGAGGAAGGUAGAAUUCCAGGUGUAGCGGUGAAAUGCGUAGAGAUCUGGAGGAAUACCGAUGGCGAAGGCAGCCUUCUGGCCUAAUACUGACGCUGAGGUGCGAAAGCAUGGGGAGCAAACAGGAUUAGAUACCCUGGUAGUCCAUGCCGUAAACGAUGUCAACUAGGUGUUGGGGAACUUGAUUCCUUAGUGCCGCAGCUAACGCAUUAAGUUGACCGCCUGGGGAGUACGACCGCAAGGUUAAAACUCAAAUGAAUUGACGGGG
rnacentral:rRNA from 1 species